GGUUCCGUGGUGUAGCGGUUAUCACGUCUGCUUUACACGCAGAAGAUCGCCGGUUCGAUCCCGGUCGGAACCA
rnacentral:tRNA from 1 species